UACGAAGGGGGCUAGCGUUGUUCGGAAUCACUGGGCGUAAAGCGCACGUAGGCGGAUUCUUAAGUCAGGGGUGAAAUCCCGAGGCUCAACCUCGGAACCGCCUUUGAUACUGGGGAUCUCGAGUCCGGGAGAGGUGAGUGGAAUUGCGAGUGUAGAGGUGAAAUUCGUAGAUAUUCGCAAGAACACCAGUGGCGAAGGCGGACUCACUGGCCCGGAACUGACGCUGAGGUGCGAAAGCGUGGGAGCAAACAGGG
rnacentral:rRNA from 1 species